GGGGUGACUAGUGACAGAGUGUGGAAGAGGGUGACUAUUGUCAGAGGGGGUGAUUAGUGACAGAGUGAGGGAGGGGGUGACACAGUGACAGAGUUAGGGAGGGAGUGACUAGUGACAGUCACCCCCUCCCUCCCUCUGUCACUAGUCACUCCCUCCCUCUGUCACUAGUCACUCCCUCCCUCUGUCACCAGUCAUCCCCUCACUCUGUCACCAGUCACCCCUUCCCUCCCUCACUCUGCCACUAGUCACCCAUUCCCUAACUCUGUCACUAGUCACCCCC